rnacentral:rRNA from 1 species
GCAAUUAUACAGCGAAACUGCGAAUGGCUCAUUAUAUAAGUUAUCGUUUAUUUGAUAGUACCUUACUACUUGGAUAACCGUGGUAAUUCUAGAGCUAAUACAUGCUAAAAAUCCCGACUUACGAAGGGAUGUAUUUAUUAGAUUAAAAACCAAUGCCCUUCGGGGCUCACUGGUGAUUCAUAAUAACUUCUCGAAUCGCAUGGCCUUGCGCCGGCGAUGGUUCAUUCAAAUUUCUUCCCUAUCAACUUUCGAUGCUAGAGUAGUGUUCUAGCAUGGUUACAACGGGUAACGGAGGGUUAGGGCUCGACCCCGGAGAAGGAGCCUGAGAAACGGCUACUACAUCCAAGGAAGGCAGCAGGCGCGCAAAUUACCCAAUCCCGACACGGGGAGGUAGUGACGAUAAAUACUGAUACAGGGCUCUUUUGGGUCUUGUAAUUGGAAUGAGUACAAUUUAAAUCCCUUAACGAGGAACAAUUGGAGGGCAAGUCUGGUGCCAGCAGCCGCGGUAAUUCCAGCUCCAAUAGCGUAUAUUAAAGUUGUUGUGGUUAAAAAGCUCGUAGUAGAACCUUGGGCCUGGCUGGCCGGUCCGCCUCACCGCGUGCACUGGUCCGGCCGGGCCUUUCCCCCUGUGGAACCUCAUGCCCUUCACUGGGUGUGUGGGAAAACAGGACUUUUACUUUGAAAAAAUUAGAGUGCUCCAGGCAGGCCUAUGCUCGAAUACAUUAGCAUGGAAUAAUAGAAUAGGACGUGUGGUUCUAUUUUGUUGGUUUCUAGGACCGCCGUAAUGAUUAAUAGGGACAGUCGGGGGCAUCAGUAUUCAAUUGUCAGAGGUGAAAUUCUUGGAUUUAUUGAAGACUAACUACUGCGAAAGCAUUUGCCAAGGAUGUUUUCAUUUAUCAGGAACGAAAGUUAGGGGAUCGAAGACA